rnacentral:lncRNA from 1 species
UGUCAAAUCUGAAGGUCUGGCUGAGUUGUCACGCCAGGGUGUAUUUGCACAAGAAACAGAAUAUGGGAGGAAAGAAAUAUGAGUGAACCCCAAGAAGUCGACUGUCAGCUUCAGAGUAAGAGGCCAUCGCUCUUUUUUUUUUUUUUUUUUUUUUUUGAGACCGAGUUUCGCUCUUGUUACCCAGGCUGGAGUGCAAUGGCGCGAUCUCGGCUCACCGCAACCUCCACCUCCUGGGUUCAGGCAAUUCUCCUGCCUCAGCCUCCUGAGUAGCUGGGAUUACAGGCACGCGCCACCAUGCCCAGCUAAUUUUUUGUAUUUUUAGUAGAGACGGGGUUUCACCAUGUUGACCAGGAUGGUCUCGAUCUCUGGACCUCGUGAUCCACCUGCCUUGGCCUCCCAAAGUGCUGGGAUUACAGGCGUGAGCCACCACGCCCGGCGAGGCCAUCGCUCUUUUAAGAACAAGAACCGGAUGGGCACGGUGGCACAUGCCUGUAAUCCCAGCACUUUGGGAGGCCAAGGUGGGCGGAUUACAAAGUCAAGAGAUCGAGAAGAGUACACGUCUGAAUUGAGGAGACAACCAAAUUUCCUUUCCCAGAUUCCAUGAGUGAAGAUGUGUGGAGCAGUCAUCUCAGGACAAGCUGCCCAACUUCGUCUUUUUAUGAUUUACAUUGAUUGCUGGCAUUAAACAUGGUUGGCUUUUAAAGUUCCUGGGUGCCUUCACACCUUCUUAUUUACUCCACUUCCAAUAAAUCAGCAUAACCCGUCAUGGACACCAGGAGGAGGAGAACAUCGAUCCUUGGCGUGCUGUAACAUUCUUGGCCCAUCAUAACGUGACCUCUGCCGACCUUCCUAACACCAUCUCCAUUUGCUCUUUGUAAACACCUGUUUCAGAACUGCUACCUCGCUCAUGGCUUCUUCAGCAGGCGCUGCUCUCUGUGGCUUUCCUUCUGUGCAUCUCUGAUAAUGAUGUUUGUCUGGCUUACCAUGAUAUGCUAACGCAGGGCCUUGCACACCACAGGAGCUCAACAAAUAUUUGUUAAAGAAAUCAAUGAAUAACUGCUUAGAAUACACUUCCUCUUCUGGUCCUUCAAAACUCGGCUGAAAUAUCAGCUCCUCAAAGACUCAAAUCUCCCUCAUGUCUAAUCAGGCACCCUGCUCCGUGCAUACAUUUAACCUAGCACACAGGUCACUAUGGUGUCAUUGCUGUUUUAUUUCUCUCUCCUCUCUCUCUCUCUCUCUCUCUCUCUCUCUCUGUCUGUCAGCUGUGACUGCCUUGUGAGCAAAGAUUGUAUCUCAUUCGCAUUUGUAAUCUCCAGCACCUAAAAGUCAAAUAGGAGACUCCUGAAGGCAGGUUGCUAAUGGAAUAUGGGCCGUAACAAGUAGCCUCUGGUCGCUGUUUUAUUUAUGCUGAUUUAUUAUAUCCCUCUACUGGUGAAAUCACUGAAACUUCAGCCUCUCAGGUCCCAGUCCUCAU